CCUACGGGCGGCAGCAGUGAGGAAUAUUGGUCAAUGGACGCAAGUCUGAACCAGCCAUGCCGCGUGCAGGAAGACGGCUCUAUGAGUUGUAAACUGCUUUUGUACGAGGGUAAACGCAGAUACGCGUAUCUGUCUGAAAGUAUCGUACGAAUAAGGAUCGACUAACUCCGUGCCAGCAGCCGCGGUAAUACGGAGGAUUCAAGCGUUAUCCGGAUUUAUUGGGUUUAAAGGGUGCGUAGGCGGUCGGAUAAGUUAGAGGUGAAAUCCCGAGGCUCAACUUCGGAAUUGCCGCUGAUACUGUUCGGCUAGAGAGUAGUUGCGGUAGGCGGAAUGUAUGGUGUAGCGGUGAAAUGCUUAGAGAUCAUACAGAACACCGAUUGCGAAGGCAGCUUACCAAGCUACUUCUGACGUUGAGGCACGAAAGCGUGGGGAGCGAACAGGAUUAGAUACCCUUGUAGUC
rnacentral:rRNA from 1 species